rnacentral:lncRNA from 1 species
UUGAUGAUGAUGUCAUCACUGGAACGAAACUGAUGUAGUGGAAGCCUUUGAAUGCAAUGUCUGGACAAGCCUUUUGCUCCAUUUACAUCAUAAAUGUCUGAGAUUUCUCUAUAUGUUGGUUCAACUGAGUUACUACUUACUUGCCAUUGGUAAGCUUUCAACACUGCUGGACUCACCCAUUCAAUGAACACCUUCCCAUUUACUAAGCUAACUAAUAAAGCUACCUAUAAAAAUAAUAAUAUUUAAUGCUUUGUUAAAAACGAAUAUGGUAGUGGUCUGGAAAUUAUUUCUCAUCCCAACUUGAAUUAGCAAAAUCCUACCAUAUAGGUAUAUACCUUUGAUAAUGACUCCCCAUCCACCAAUGAUUCCAGUAACUGAACGGCUGUGAUUGCACCUGCAACUGCACCAAUUCCAGCUCCUCUCAAAAACCCAGUUUCUGUUGUUUGUCCUUUCAUUGCUCCAACUACUGUUCCCACCAUAGAUCCUCCUUUAGAAACCAAACAAAUAUACGUUGAGUCUCAAAGAAAACAUGUAUAUAUAAUAUAUAUCUAUAUAUGUAUAUGUAUAAUUUGUAUAUAUACCUAAUGCAAAAGUGCAGGUAGAAGCAGCAAAGAAAGUUCUUUUGAACACACUAAUGAAGAAGCCAAUUGGAAGAUGUUUCAUUGCAGCAAAAACCCAGUCUCCACACCUAAAUGGCACCUCAGUUAUGCAUGAAAACCACUCCAUUAACAUUGGCAAAAAAAAAAA